AUUUGCUCCAAAAAUUGAAGUAUUAAAGCAAAAAUUUGCAAGACUAUCAGUGCUAGAAGCAGUUAAUGUACAGCAUAUGAAUUAGAUAUGAAGCUUUUUUGUAUUAAGCUAAGCUUAACUCAUUGUUGGUAUUUAUCAGACAGCAAGAAAGUAUUCUGUUCAGAGAAAGAGAGAAGGGUGGAGAUUGGCAAAAAGCUAGAAAUAGGCACGUCAAUAGGGAAAAUGGCAGGUGCAGAUAUUUCUGGCCAUAUGGCCAAAAUAUUUAAGAGACAAAUACAGCAAGGGAGGGAUAAAGUGACAUUUAAGAGAUAAGAGGAACAGAGCCAGUCAAAUGAAAAUUAAAGUCCCUUUCAUGCCAGUUGUAUGUGCAAAAAAUACCACAGACCAGUUUGCAAAGUGCCUGUCUCAGUCUGAAAUACCAUUGUGCUGCUUUUGAGUUGGAGCUUAGUGUGAGUAAGCAUCUCGUUAUCUCACUUGUGCAGCCAGCUCCGUUGGAUUAAAACAACUGUGCACUGGCCUGGGUGCCCAGAAUACACUAAUGUAAAAUGCAACACAUCUCCAGCUGCGAAUGUCUGUGUGCCUAUUAACUUGUGUGCGACGGUCUCUGCAGUGCAUAUGUGCCUAUUGGCUUUACAGGUUUUUGACUUGGAAGCUAAUUAGACACCGGCUAGCCUUCUACAUACCCACAGAGCAAGAGCGGAAGAAAACACGUUUCAAGAAAAGAAGAGGAGGAGAGGAGACGUCUAAGAAGGCGAAACAAAAAAAAGAAGAAAAAAACACAUCUCCAGGCAGAACUGUGACGCACAAAAGGACACACCAUCUCCUCUCCAAUGACCUUUUAUUGCUGGGGAAGGAUACAGAGUUGGCAGGCCCCUGAGCCUGUGUGGAAAUACAGUGUGUAACAGCAGCAGGACCAUCCUCCUCUUUGCCAAGUGAAGGCAAUCAAUCAAUAGCCUCUUUCCAAGGAAGGGAUAAGUAGAAGUUGUCAAUAUUGAGUCCAAUAGAAUAUAUACUGCAAUAAAAUAUAUACUAUAUACUGCAUGUGACAGAAAUCAAAUCAAACAGUAAUGUUAUUUUGCAACAAAUCCCACGACACAAAUAAUUUGCUUUGAGAAUGUACUGAGAUCACAAUGGAGGAAAUGAGGGAAGCAAAACUGGUGGAAAACCAGUGUUUGCAGAUCCUGAUCCUUCUGUGGUCAGAAAGUAACUCGGAGUAUAAAACAAGAACCCUCCUUAGCCUUCGUGUGUUCACAAAUGCAUGCAAAAGAAAUGCAUUUCAGUAUACGUUAAAGUAUUUUCUUUACAGGCGUACAGCAUGUAUCGCAGAUUUGUCUCAGCUAACAUUAAUUUGGGUCUGAUUAAUGAUGAAAUUCUCACAUAACAGCUGUAACACUGACACCAGAUUUCCACCCUUCCGUGGAAAUAUCCCCCUCAUCUCCAAGUUCAG
ensembl:lncRNA